CAACUUUGUUGAGCAGGCUUAUGCUACCCCCAAAGAGGGUCAAGCUGAGAAAUGAAAACUGUGAAAAAGAUCAUACCGUGAUGAAGUUGCCGCAGUUCUGACCAUCAGCUCGGAAAUAGUUGUUUUGGGUGUUGCCCUGAAUGCCUGCUGGAAUCUGCUUACCAGCC